AGUCUUAUAUUCAUUAAUGAUAUAAAAUUGCAAAUUUUAAGGUGUAAUACAAUACUAAGGCUU
rnacentral:tRNA from 1 species